CCUGGCUCAGGACGAACGCUGGCGGCGUGCCUAACACAUGCAAGUCGAACGGAGUUCUUGUGAUUGAAGCUUCGGCAGAUUUCACUUGAACUUAGUGGCGGACGGGUGAGUAACGCGUGAGGAACCUGCCUUCCAGAGGGGGACAACAGUUGGAAACGACUGCUAAUACCGCAUAAUGCAGCGUGGUCGCAUGACCGUGCUGCCAAAGAUUUAUCGCUGGAAGAUGGCCUCGCGUCUGAUUAGAUAGUUGGUGAGGUAACGGCCCACCAAGUCUGCGAUCAGUAGCCGGACUGAGAGGUUGAACGGCCACAUUGGGACUGAGACACGGCCCAGACUCCUACGGGAGGCAGCAGUGGGGAAUAUUGCGCAAUGGGGGCAACCCUGACGCAGCAACGCCGCGUGAAGGAAGAAGGUCUUCGGAUUGUAAACUUUUGUCUUAUGGGAAGAUAAUGACGGUACCAUAGGAGGAAGCUCCGGCUAACUACGUG
rnacentral:rRNA from 1 species